rnacentral:rRNA from 1 species
UACGUAGGUGGCAAGCGAUACUCGGAAUCACUAGGCGUAAAGCGCAGGUAGGCGGUUUGGUAAGUCUUUUGUGAAAGCUCCCGGCUUAACUGGGAGAGGUCAAGGGAAACUACCGGACUAGAGUGUGGUAGGGGAUACUGGAAUUCCUGGUGUAGCGGUGAAAUGCGUAGAUAUCAGGAGGAAUACCUAUGGCGAAAGCAGGUAUCUGGGCCAUCACUGACGCUGAGCUGCGAAAGCCAGGGGAGCGAACGGG